ACGCUAGGGACUUGCGGCUAGACAUAUUCGUAAUGCCCAUGAACGACUUAUGCAUGAUAAUUUUAUGAGAUUUCAAAGCUUGCCUUAACGUUGACUGCAACCAGCUAUUUUAUUUUAAGAUAUAAAUGUUCGUUGGCCUAAUAGUGAUGAGCCAGAUUUAUUCGUCGAUUUUAUCGACAUUAUAACAUACUUAUAUGUUAUUCAACUUCAAACUCAACAACGCUAACAUAUUUUAUGUAUUAUCUGCGUAAUUUCACCUAAUUUAAUUUAUUUAUUUCCCAAUUUGUCUUCCCAGGUUAAUUAUUUAAUAUCUUCAUGGUUUUCUUAUCAUAAUAUCUCCCAUAAUAGCAUUUUAUAGGAUCUUAGUUUCGUUGAUUAUGCCAUACAGUUAGGAGUAUUGAAUUAUAUUUUGUUUGUAAUUAAUAGUUAAUUAAAUCACCUUUAAGAUACGUAUUAUGCUUGUUAGAACAUAUCAUUGUCUAUAUCGCUAACAUGUCUCACACCUCAGGAACUUGGUUACUAGUUGCCAUAACGUUAGUCCAUAUAACCCUAGAUGAUUUUGCCAUAUAUUGUUUGUGUAUUUUAAUAUGCUUUACUUCUUUAUCCAUAACAUAUUUUAUUAUGCUUGUGUACAGGUUAAACUUGGGCAGUCAGGUUUUUGUUUCCGUCUACUUUUCCUGACGUAGGGACUUGGCCCUAGUAAUGAAGGCGGUGUAUUCAAAUAGGUCCUAAUCAGACUUAAUUGAAUACAGAGUUAUAGUAAUUAUUUCUGACAAAAUAUAAAUGAUUAUAGAUACAAUAAAUCGAAAUGUUUUAGUAUCCAA